rnacentral:rRNA from 1 species
GACGAACCGUGCGAACGUUUAUUCGGAAUCACUGGGCUUAAAGCGCGUGUAGGCGGGGUCGCCGCGUCGGCUGCUGAAAUCCCCCGGCUCAACCGGGGAACGGGCACCGAUACGGGCGGCCUCGAGGGGGGUAGGGGGACCUGGGAACUUCCGGUGGAGCGGUGAAAUGCGUUGAGAUCGGAAGGAACGCCCGUGGCGAAAGCGAGGUCCUGGACCCUUUCUGACGCUGAGACGCGAAAGCCAGGGGAGCGAACGGG